UUUUCUAGCACAUAGCAUUUCAGAUCUCCAUCUCUAUCAAAAUCAAGAAGAAAUUGUAGCCAAAGUUCUCACCUUUAUCCUUCAAGAUUCAAUCUUUCAAUACCCACUAGAUGAAAUAGCAGCAGAGAUUCUUAUUAUAGAUGACCAAGAUAAGGUCACUUAUAAUCUUCAGAUACACAGACCCACGUUUGACGUUGAUUUGAUCUAAAAAUCAAAUGGAACAGUAGCUCAGGGCUGAUAACAAUGGUUCAUCAAUUACAUGGUCUAGAUAGAUCAAGUUGUGAACAAGUCAGAUAGGUUUUAGAAGGGGCGAUUUCACUCAUUUUUGAAGGUGUUCUGAAAAUGCUGCCUCCCUCUUGAUUAGGCAGAAGGGUUUAUGUAUCUCUGGGUUUAACAUGAAGCCCAAAGAAACCCAUGAAAGUUGGGUCGUCUGGCGUAACAAUGGACGAACUUACAAUUAAACGUCAAUCAUCUCACUUCAGUGGUGAUGAUAAUGAUUCAUCAAUAUUAACAUGGUCUGGAUGCUGCAAAUGGAUUGAAAGAUGUUGAAACAUCAAGUCGUGAACAAAUCAGAUGGGUUUUAGAAGUGGCGAGUUCAUUCAUUUCGGACUUGGGGACGGCUUAAAAAGGAACACAUUAAUCUGUCUAUAUGCAUAUGUUAUUUGGAAGGUGUUUCUAAACACUGCUUUUCUCUUGAUUAGGUUAUAUAUGGCACGAGGCACAGGUUGGCUGCUAGGAAUGUUACCUGGGCCUUCCAGAGCUGUGAACUGUGCUGGCUGGAAACCGUGGAACCUGCACAUGCUGGUAUUAUUUGUAAGUGAUGGCCGUACUUUUCCAGUUAGAGGUUCAAUCUGUGUUAGCUUGAAGCACAAAGAAACCCAUUAUAAUGGGGUCGUCUGCCGUAGGAAUGGAUGGACUUAAAAUCUUCAGUAUCGAGAGAUGAUACAUCAAUCAUCUUAGUUCAGCAGAGUCUUGCCACAUAGCUUCAAAGUCAUAUCAUGAUGAUCGAUUGCAGUCAGUUGCCAAUUCACAUCAUCGUGAUUAGAGGAAGCAGCGAUACGUGGAGAAACUCGCAACUACAGAUUAUUAUCAGCAUGAAUUCAGCUACUUCGGUGGAAGUGUGAUAUCAUUCAGGCUCGCUCGCAACUCUCCAAUGCAUAGCAGCAACGAACUCUACUCUUGAAGUGGUUAUCUCCGAAGACCUGACAAGCAUUUCGGAUCAGUUAAAUCAACCCGGGUCUGGUUACCUCGGGUCAGUUAAUCAGCUCAUGUCUAACCAUCCACUUCUCUCGAAUUAACCUGCUAGCUCGAGAUACAUUCAGCCACUUGGGUCAAACCAUCUCGGAGAAGUCAGUUCGGAAAUGCAAUUUGAGUUGCUGUCACCUCAGCUUCAGGUGAAACCAUCUUGGAACGAAUCAGUUAACUCACUCGGGUAAAAAGCAUCUCAUACCAAAUCAGCUCGGGACAGAUACCCUAUCAGAAGCAACCAGCACGAGCUCAGACGAGCAAUUCCGGAUCAACUCCUUCAUGUAAGGUCAACUCGGAGUCGCCAAUUUCACUGGCUCUCAGCACCUACCUCAGAUCAGUUGCUCGUAACUAGUCAGCUCAGACACUCACUCGGGAUAGUUGAGAAAGGAUAAAGUCAGCUCGUUCCAGAUUAGCAUACUUGGUUGGGGUCAUUCAUCUCGAUACACUCAGGACUCAUAGUCAGCUAAGGACCAACCAUCAAGCAGCUAUCUCGGAAGUAAUUAUAUCGGACCAGCCAUAGAGGUCCAUUUACGUUUGCAAAGCUCACCAAGAUGCACCAAUUAGCUUACAAGCCACGUGAUGGAGAUAACGAGUUUAUAAGAGUUUCUUGAGUUUAAGGAUAAAGUUAGAGGUUACAGCAAGGAACCGUGCUAUUUCAGCAUCGCUAGCAGCAAGAGAAAGCUCAAGUACCGAUACAAUCCGGAUCAAACCAGUCGUAGAUGAAGGCCUUGACAGAUUUACUCGACAUGGGGGAUUUGAGAACACUUUGAUUUGAUCUAACAAUCAAAUUGAACAGUAGCUCAGCGGUGAUGAUCAUGAUUCAUCAAUAUUAACAUUUUAGAAGGGUGAUUCACGCAUUUCAGACUUGGGGACUGCAUGGCUUGGGGAAUUGCUGGAGUUUGCAUAAAACAGAUGUUCUAAGUUCACUUGUGAACUUCUCAACUGUUUGUGCGAAUGCAUAAGAGAGCUACUAUGUUCGCUUUUUUUCUUUAGUUAUGUGAAAAUCUCAUGUCUUGGUUUCUUAGAAUUACGUCUGUUCCUACUGAUUAAUGAUUAGUUCAGGGGUAGAUCAUGUUGGCUUUAAUCGAUUUUCAUUUUUUGGAGAAGCAGGUACGCUAUCACAUUAAAUUAUCGACGUCGCCGAAGGCAUAGUUUCAUCAGAUUUGUCUACUUUUCACAAUUUUGUGUGUAGCAUGUGCCUGUAUCUAGUGAUAACUAUUCAACGACAACUCUUGGAUCAUCUCUAGUAUGUGCGCACCAACUUGGUGUAGCUGUACUGGAAAGCAGUAUACAUAUGUAAAUUAUCCAAAAAAAAUUAAUCAAUUACAUGGUCUAGAUGCUACAGAUGUUGAAACCUCCAAUUCUGAACAUAUCAGAUAGGUUUUAGAAGAGGGGAUCUCAUUCAUUUCGAACUUGGGAGCGGCUUAAAAAGCUGCGCAUAUUUAUCUGUCUAUAUGCAUAUUUUUUAUUUGAAGGUGUUUCUGGAGCACUGCUUUUCUCUUGAUUAGGUUAUAUAUGGCACGAGGCACAGGUUGGCUGCUAGGAAUGUCACCUGAGCUUUCCAGAGCUGUGAACAGUGCUGGCUGGAAACCAAGCAACCUGUGCAUGCUGGUAUUUGCAUGUGAUGGCCGUACUUUUCCAGUUAGAGGUUCAAUCUGUGUUAGGUUAAAGCACAAAGAAACCCAUGAUAAUGGGGUCGCUUGCCGUAGCAAUGAAUGGACUUAAAAUCUUCACUAGCAAUGGUACGUCAGUCAUCUUAGUUCAGGUAAUCCCAUGUUUCUCUUUGUUUCCGCUGAUAACUUUUAAUUUGUGAGAACAUUAGGCCUAUGUUUGUAAUUUAAGCCUUUUAUAUGCAUAAUUCUCUUACAUUAAUUCUUGGACUUCCAUUAACAAGGUUGGAGCUCUAUCCGAGAAAACAAAGAGAGAAUAGAGUUCUUUCUGGCCUAAAUUCGUUUUGAGAAACAAUAGAUAUAAUUUAAUUAUGAUAAUAUCCUUAGAUUAAAAAUUUAGCAUGUGGAUAUGCGAUUUAACUUUUUAAGCAAGGGUAUUUUGGUAACUUGCUUGUAUUUGUUUCUCUACAAAGAAAGGAUUUAGGUUCUAAAGGAUUUUCUUUCUUUCUUUUUGUUGCGGGGUAGAGUGUUAUCUUCCAUUAGGAAAAAAUUGGGUAUCUAUAACCUUAAAAGUUUGAUUUUGUCAGACCAAAAUCCGAUUCAAAAGCAUUCUUGAGAUUUCUAAUUAUUUGUCAUCUUCAUUUAAGAGUUUUGCAGAAUUUUUUCUCGAUUUGUAACUAUAAAGAAAAUCUGGUAAUUGACCCAAACUUUAUCUAAUGGUAAAUGAAAUCAAGAUGCAAAUAGUUUUUAGCAUUGGAGGACUCAGCUGUAAAGUUGGGCUGCAAAUAGUGUUUUUGUUUGCAAGCAUAGCAGUGAUUCGGAGAGCACAGUUUCUAGUGUAGGGAUGCCGUGUAAUGCCAUGAUCAUGGUGUUCACCAAGUAAUUUGUUGUUGGAGAAAUUGGAUUAAGAUCGUUUUCGUGUGGGAAAUUGGAUCAUUUUGAUUCGAUCCAACAAUGUGGGGUGCCUAUCAGGAAGUUCAUUUCAGUUGAUGUUGCAAGUGGCAUUCAGUAAGAUGUUGUAAAGCCAGUUUAUUGUCUCAACCGGUUUUGGAAAUGCUUAAGAGAAAUACUAUGUCUGACUUUCGGAUUCUAAAUUUUGUCUA